AUUGAACGCUGGCGGCAUGCUUUACACAUGCAAGUCGAACGGCAGCGCGGGCUUCGGCCUGGCGGCGAGUGGCGAACGGGUGAGUAAUGCAUCGGAACGUGCCCAGUAGUGGGGGAUAGCCCGGCGAAAGCCGGAUUAAUACCGCAUACGACCUGAGGGUGAAAGCGGGGGGCCGAAAGGCCUCGCGCUAUUGGAGCGGCCGAUGUCGGAUUAGCUAGUUGGUGGGGUAAAGGCUUACCAAGGCGACGAUCCGUAGCUGGUCUGAGAGGACGACCAGCCACACUGGGACUGAGACACGGCCCAGACUCCUACGGGAGGCAGCAGUGGGGAAUUUUAGACAAUGGGGGCGAACCUGAUCCAGCCAUGCCGCGUGCGGGAAGAAGGCCUUCGGGUUGUAAACCGCUUUUGUUCGGGAAGAAAUCCUCUGGGCUAAUACCCCGGGGGGAUGACGGUACCGGAAGAAUAAGCACCGGCUAACUACGUG
rnacentral:rRNA from 1 species